rnacentral:sRNA from 2 species
ACUCUGUCCAAUGUUUCUUUGUUGGUUAUCGCAAACGUAUCGGUAGGCCGCCAAGUCACCUCACGCAACCGUUUGGGAGGGGAUCAAAUAUGCGGAAAACAACCUCAUUCGGCCUCGCCGUCGGUGUUCUUGCUAUGUUGGCUGGAAGAGUGCCCGCCGAACUGCCCUACAACCCUUCAUACAUCAGCAACCCGGUUUCACCAAACCAAACGGAGGUCUUCAUCCUUUCUCCACAAAAUUCGGCCUCUUCGAAUAGAUUCCGGCUUCAGUCUCUGGAUAUUUCGACUUCGUUCGCGGUCUCCCAGCUCCCGAUCUCAGAGAAUUUUGUUAACAUGCCUUUUGUUACGGAUGAUGGCUCAAAUUCCUUUAUCUCCACUACUGACGCCGCAGGGACCCUGACGGUUUAUGCUGGAGACUGCCACACCAACUCUUCUACAGUCUGGCGACUACUGCGUACCUAUGGGGAUUCGUCCAAUAAUUUGAAGUGGCAGGAGUUACCAGUUCUUUCUGCCGGAGGCGAACACGUCCGUGGACCUUCAUAUUUAUCUGCAGCUGUUUCAUAUUCUUCCCCGGUGCCACCGUCACUGCCGGGCCUCUUCGUUUUUGGAGGAAUGUGCCCAUGGGUGGACAAAAAGGAUAAUAGCUGGGUCUCUGCGGCCGACUAUUCCAAAUCUAUCACGUCUCUCACUGCUGAUAAGGCAUCUUCGAUCCCUUCCUAUCAAGCUGAAAUCAUAACGCCGGGAUCAUCUCCAGUUGCUGAAGCAGGAUUUGCCAUAACACCGUUGGGGCCAGCUUAUUCGAAUUCCUCCAGUGGUAAAACGAUCCAGCAUCAAAAUUUCGUUCUAACCGGGGGCCACACUCAGGGAGCGUUCAUCAACAUGUCCCAGGUUGCGUUGUUUUCUCUCCCUGAAGCUACCUGGAGCUACGUGUUAGUCAGCCAGGACAGUGCAACUCCAUCUCUACCAGACCUGGACGGUAUCGACGGGGUGGAGCCGCGCUCCGGCCAUACUGCGUUAUUGUCACCAGACGGCAGCAAAAUUAUUGUUUUCGGUGGCUGGGUCGGUGAUAUCAGUCGUCCAGCCCAACCUCAACUUGUUAUUCUUGAGCUGGGAGCGGCGUAUGGAGGAUCUGGACACUGGAAGUGGACUGUACCUCGCCAGACCAUGCAUGGACCAAAGCCUGGUACCGGGAUUUUUGGCCAUGGCGCGGCAAUGCUUCCUGGCGGUAUAAUGUUUGUAACCGGAGGCUAUUCGAUUCCCCAGUCGGCUCCGAAACAAUCACGUACGGACCUUACCGCUAAUACCAAAGGAUAUCUCUUUAACACGACUUCGG